GAAGUCCGCCGGACCGCCGCUGGUGCAUGUCUCGAAAGAGCGCACUGGAGGAACGUCCGGACUGCACAGGACAGCGCAGGAGCUAACGGCUCUCCACCGCGAGGUGAGGAUCAGAGCAACAGAGACGAGUCUGAGCGGGUACAGGCCACCGAAGGUGUUCUGUGGGUGCCGGCGAAAGCCGGCAGUCGGCUGGCGCAAGCCAGUCGGCCCGGGCGCAAGCCCGGAGCCCACAGCCACCCUGGGCAGGCGGCGCCUGCCCAGGGUGAAACGGGCAAUCUCUGCGCGCAGCAACACCAAGUAGGCCAGCGUCGAUGUGGUUCCGCAGAGCUGGCGGGUAGGUGGCAUCGAGCCGGGUGGGCGACCCCCGGCCCAGAGUAAUGGCGGUCACGCCGGGCGACCGCAAGGGCGCCCGGUGCACAGAAUCCGGCUUACAGGCGGACUUCACAC
rfam:Xylophilus sp. Leaf220 contig_4, whole genome shotgun sequence.